UUUGUACAGGGAGCUUCGCUAAGAUGCAAAGUUUGUCUUAGAAGAACUCAGGAGAGAAUAAGAACAAAGUAUUGUUGGGUCAGUCUACAAUCCAGCAAAAGAAAAGCCAAAACAAAUGAAUGAGUUUUCUCUGCAACAAACGGAAUACAAGAAUAGAACCACCCAUAAUCUGAAAACAAGUGCUUUCAGAAGAUGGAAAUGCAACAAAAAACCUAACACUACAGGGGAAAACAGUAUCAACAACUUCGAUGAUGCAACAAGCCACGGCUAAAUGGAGUACUGAGGUAAUAAUAAGUAUAUAGGACUCCCAUUAUAUAAUCACUC